GGCUGGUUCAAAGGUAGAGAGCUAUCUCACUUGAUCGUUCACAGUCAGUUACAGAUUAAACUCCUUAUUUUACUACUUUCCCCUAUUCUCACUAUUGCAUUUGACUAGUCUUUA
ensembl:misc_RNA Y_RNA Y RNA